rnacentral:tRNA from 1 species
GGUCCCGUAGUUCAGCUGGACAGAACACAAGUUUCCUAAACUUGGUGUCGGAGGUUCGAGUCCUCUCGGGACCGCCA